GUGCAGCAGUCGCGAAACCUCCGCAAUGCGCGAAAGCGCGACGGGGCCACCCCGAGUGCCGCCCGCUGAGGGCGGCUUUUCCCCGGUGUAGACAGCCGGGGGAAUAAGGGGAGGGCAAGUCUGGUGUCAGCCGCUGCGGUAAUACCAGCUCCCCGAGUGGUGGGGACGAUUAUUGGGCCUAAAGCGUCCGUAGCCGGCCCGGCAAGUCUCCCGUUAAAUCCAGCGACCUAAUCGCUGGACUGCGGGAGAUACUGUCGGGCUAGGGGGCGGGAGAGGCCGGCGGUAUUCCCGGGGUAGGGGUGAAAUCCUAUAAUCCCGGGAGGACCACCAGUGGUGAAGGCUGCCGGCUGGAACGCGCCCGACGGUGAGGGACGAAAGCCGGGGAGCGAACCGGAUUAGAUACCCCCGUAGU
rnacentral:rRNA from 1 species